rnacentral:piRNA from 1 species
UGAAAAAUCUUUAUUACUGUCUCUUGUGGU